GUAGGUGAACCUGCGGAAGGAUCAUUCACAAUAGUGUUUUAAUGGCACUUGAAUCCCAUUAUCCACCUUGUGUGCAUUGUCGGGGAGGUUUCUGCCUCCUUUUCAUUCAUACCUUUGUUCUCAGUAUCAGUCUACAUCAAUUGAGUAUAAAAAACUCUAAUACAACUUUCAACAACGGAUCUCUUGGCUCUCGCAUCGAUGAAGA
rnacentral:misc_RNA from 1 species